ACACACACACACACAAGUCCAUAAAAUAUGCUUUAAGGAGGGGGCAGCUCAACUCACCCCUCACUCACCCCCAAAGCAUGCAAAGGGAAGAGUGCUGUGGGCUGGGGAAUCUUCCAUCCUGCUACUACUGCUAGCUUUAGAGGAAGUGGGCAGGAAGGUAAGUAGAUUCCUGUAUGCAUUGAGGGAGGGGGGAGAAGGAGAAGAGCUGCAUCGAAUUCGCUGUGCAAUUAUGAGGGUUGGUCGCUUUCUGCAUCAGUCUUCAGAUAGGUGAACCUGGGCACAAGUACAAGUUCUUGAAGCAUUUAGACUAUCCUGAUGUACUGUUAAUCAUCCAAAGAGGAAGCAAGUGAAUAACUUCCCUUCACUAACAAGUUCUAAGUCUGAUUACUUGUGAAGGGGCUAAAGUAUUUGAGUUAAGAAGUACUUAAAGCAUUUGCCGUGGGAGGUUGAUCUGAAAAACGGAAAUGAUUGGAAUGGAUCAGAUUCAUCUCCGGUGGUGCAUCAAGUUAUGGAUCUGCAUUGAUUACUGAGUACAUGGAACUUUUUCUUGUGUACGAGAGACUGACCGAGAUCAUGUAGGUUGCUUUCGGAGUUCUAGAGAUUUCGUAUCAGGCACAAAAAAAAAAAAAAAAAAGAAACUAGACCGGAAUCAUUCAACUGUGUGAGCAACAAUAAAAGGUGGACAGGUUCUUAGGCUUGAACAACACAUUGUGAUACAUUUUGCCCGUAGAGUAUGCAACAUCUUCAGCCCUCACAUCUGCAGGAAGCUUACAACUCAAAUCAUCUGUCUACAUGACCUUUCUUGGUUCUAGAAUGGAGGGUUGUUCUGUAGAUAUAUAUAUAGAUUGAAAGGCUCAAGCAUAGGAGAGCAAUCCGCUCCGCAUUGUUUAUUUUGUGACUUCUACCACUGGAAUCAAGUUCUCCAAUGUAGUUUCGGCUGCCUUUUUCACAUGGGUCAUGAAACUAGAACCUGCACAAAUGCUGCAAAGAGCCGAUCCAUAACGUGCCAUGAAAAGAACAAAGCAGAUCGGAUAGAAUUUUGGGAUUUUUCAGGGACAAAACCUUGGUCAAAUAUGACUUCUCCAACUUGCUGCCAGGACAUCAAAACAUCAGUCCAAAUGACAUCAUUUUGGUUGGAAGAGGAGAAUCCUGCAUCCUAUGUGAGUCAUGUGGCACAAGGU